rnacentral:sRNA from 1 species
GAGGAGAAAGAGGAGGCGGGAGAGAGUGUGGAGGACAUUUUCUCAGAGGUCGUGGGCCGGAAGCGACAGCGGUCAGGACCCAACAGGGGAGCCAAGAGGCGGAGGGAGGAGGCCCGGCAGCGGGACCAGGAAUUCUACAUCCCCUACCGGCCCAAGGACUUUGACAGCGAGCGGGGCCUGAGCAUCAGCGGGGAAGGGGGAGCCUUCGAGCAGCAGGCGGCUGGCGCUGUCCUGGACCUGAUGGGGGAUGAAGCCCAGAACCUGAUGAGGGGCCAGCAGCAGCUCAAGUGGUGAGUGAUCGAGUGAGCCGCCCCUCCAUG